GACGAACGCUGGCGGCGUGCUUAACACAUGCAAGUCGAACGGGAUUCAACCAGUGGCAACACUGGGGAAGAUCUAGUGGCGAACGGGUGCGUAACACGUGAGGAACCUACCCCGGUCUCUGGAAUAACAGGUGGAAACACCUGCUAAUACCGGAUGCCGUCGGACCAUCGCAUGGUGGACCGACGAAAGAAUUUCGGAUCGGGACGGCCUCGCGGCCUAUCAGCUUGUUGGUGGGGUAAUGGCCUACCAAGGCAACGACGGGUAGCUGGUCUGAGAGGAUGAUCAGCCACACUGGGACUGAGACACGGCCCAGACUCCUACGGGAGGCAGCAGUGGGGAAUCUUGCGCAAUGGGCGAGAGCCUGACGCAGCAACGCCGCGUGCGGGAUGAAGGCCUUCGGGUUGUAAACCGCUUUCAGCAGGAACGAAACUGACGGUACCUGCAGAAGAAGGUGCGGCCAACUACGUGCCAGCCGCCGCCGUAA
rnacentral:rRNA from 1 species